CGUCCAACACUCACGGAUUCGGUGCCGAGUAUCUGUUGUAAUUGUUGUUGCUCGGUUUGUGGGGGUGUCUGUUGUGCUUGUAACUCGACGGUCCAACGUUUAUGUGAACGUGAUUGCCCAUGCCCGAUAUUCUCGGUCCGACCGGCCACGAUUUCUUGUACAUCUGUGGCUGCUGAUGACGGUAUUUGUAUCUCGCGGAGCAGUUCGGCAGAAGAGCCAAGCAAACGCAGGCCACCAGAAGCCACCUCAGCCAGUUUAUCGCCUGGAGAAUAAUGAAGUAGCAAGAGGAAUUCAGUCGAGAUUUUCAUCGAUCAUCUCGCGACGACGAUCUCAUCGCGGAUCUCCGGUGACGAUUCGAUCGCUAUUCGGAAGCUGUGAUAUUCGGGAUAAUCGUUGAACAGGACUUUGGAAUGUUGAUUGUUCAACGGCUGCAACUUUAAUCCUGAGAUGACGUUCCCGGAUUCUUUCGGCUUCGGGUGCAGACUGUUUCUUUUCUGCGCAGCCAAGCCGUUGUGAAGACCAUAGUCAUGGAG
rnacentral:misc_RNA from 1 species